UACGUAGGGUGCAAGCGUUGUCCGGAAUUAUUGGGCGUAAAGAGCUCGUAGGCGGUUUGUCGCGUCUGCUGUGAAAGUUCGGGGCUCAAACCCGGAACUGCAGUGGGUACGGUCAGACUAGAGUGCGGUAGAGGAGAUUGGAAUUACUGGUGUAGCGGUGGAAUGCGCAGAUAUCAGGAGGAACACCAGUGGCGAAGGCGGGUCUCUGGGCCGCAACUGACGCUGAGGAGCGAAAGCGUGGGGAGCGAACAGG
rnacentral:rRNA from 1 species